GAUGAAGAACGUAGUGAAAUGCGAUAAUUAAUGUGAAUUGCAGAAUUCAGUGAAUCAUCGAAUCUUUGAACGCACCUUGCGCUCUUUGGUAUUCCGAAGAGCAUGCCUGUUUGAGUGUCAUGAAAAUAUCAACCUUGACUUGGGUUUUGUGCUCUAGUCUCGGCUUGGAAUUGGGUGCUUGCCGCUUUUACGAGCGGCUCACCUUAAAUGUAUUAGCCGGAUCUGUCUUUGAGACUUGGUUUGACUUGGCGUAAUAAGUAUUUCGCUAAGGACAUUCUUCGGAGUGGCCUCGUUUCUAGGACGCUUGUCCGCUUUCCAAUACAAGUUCCACCUCGUGGACAUGACUUUUUAUUAUCUGGCCUCAAAUCAGGUAGGACUACCCGCUGAACUUAAGCAUAUCAAUAAGCGGAGGA
rnacentral:misc_RNA from 1 species